rnacentral:rRNA from 1 species
AUUGAACGCUGGCGGCAAGCCUAACACAUGCAAGUCGAACGAGUGGCGGACGGGAGAGUAAUGUCUGGGAAACUGCCUGAUGGAGGGGGAUAACUACUGGAAACGGUAGCUAAUACCGCAUACCAUCGGAUGUGCCCAGAUGGGAUUAGCUAGUAGGUGGGGUAAAGGCUCACCUAGGCGACGAUCCCUAGCUGGUCUGAGAGGAUGACCAGCCCAAGUGGACCUGGGACCCGGUCCAGAGUCCUACGGGCGGCAGCCGUUGGGAAUAUUGCACAGUUGGCGCAAGCCUGAUGCAGCCAUGCCGCGUGUAUGAAGAAGGCCUUCGGGUUGUAAAGUACUUUCAGCGGGGAGGCGUUACCCGCAGAAGAAGCACCGGCUAACUCCGUGCCAGCAGCCGCGGUAAUUC